GUAGCAGCGGGCCAGCUGGACAGUCAGCAGCGUCCCGGGAGCUGCUUUUGUGCAGCGAGCCUGCACCGCGCCCUCCUCCCCGCCUGCGGGCAGGCGCCUACAAGGGCCGUGAAAGCCUUUCCACAGAGCAGGAGGUGUCACGGCAGCAGCAGCCCGGUCUCUCUCUCCGCUCCUGGGCGGCCCCGCCGGGAGCCGGUGCCACCGGCGCCGAAACGGGGCAGGCGGCGGGGGCGGGGGGGGCGGAGCGCAGUUGCCCGACAGCCGCGUUCCCAGGCCGCCUGGUGGGAUGCACACCGCCCCCCACCCCGUCGGGACCCCCGGGAGCAGGGUUCGAGGCCUAGGCCCCCAGACCGCGCACAGGACCCCGGCCUGGCCCUCCCGGGGCGCCCCGAGCCCCCGCGUCGUUUUGAGCAUCCCCCUCCCCGCCCCCGCAGCCCGCCGCUCCCACGGGAGCCUCUCAGUCCCUCCGCCGCGACGUCCUUGCGCAACCGUUCCGAGGGACAGCUGCGUCCCUACCCGCGCGGAGCGAGCCCGCAGCUCCCGCUUCCCGGAACCGAAUCCCCGCCGCUAAGCGAGGGCGCCCGAGCGAGCCCCGGCGGCCAGAGUCCGGCGGCCCCCGCGCGGCCGGCGUGCGCGCCCCCGCCCUCCGCGCGUGCGCGCCCCCGCCCCUCGCGCGUGCGCGCCCCCCCGCCAAUAGCCUCCCUCCCGCCCCCCCCGCUCCGACGGCCCCCGCGGCGUGGCCCCGCCCCCCGCCCGCGCGCGCGCGCCCGAGGAGCCCGGCGUGCGCGCGCCCGCCCGCCUCGCGCCCAGUGGAGCCGGGGAGCGAGCCGAGGAGCUGACGUCGCGCGGGAGGCGGAGGCGACGGCGACCUCGGCGGCGGCGGCGGCGGCGGCGGCGGCGGCGGCGGCGGUUGCGCUCGCUCUCUCGGCGUCAUGGCGGCUGCCGGGAGCCGAUAAGCGGCGGGAGCGGGAGCGCGCGCGUGGCCGCGGCGGCGGCGGCGACGACGACGGCUCGUUACUUGUCGCCUGUGCUGCCUUCCUCGCCGUUGGUGCUUCAAUAAUGAAUUGA
rnacentral:lncRNA from 1 species